rnacentral:rRNA from 1 species
AGAACGAACGCUGGCGGCAUGCCUAAUACAUGCAAGUCGAACGAACACUUCGGUGUUAGUGGCGCACGGGUGCGUAACGCGUGGGAAUCUGCCCUUGGGUUCGGAAUAACAGUUGGAAACGACUGCUAAUACCGGAUGAUAUCGAAAGAUCAAAGAUUUAUCGCCCAGGGAUGAGCCCGCGUAGGAUUAGCUAGUUGGUGAGGUAAAGGCUCACCAAGGCGACGAUCCUUAGCUGGUCUGAGAGGAUGAUCAGCCACACUGGGACUGAGACACGGCCCAGACCUCCGUACGGGAG